GACGUCAAGUCAUCAUGGCCCUUAUGGCCAGGGCUCACACGUGAUACAAUGGUGGGUACAGAGGGAAGCCAACCCGCGAGGGGGAGCCAAUCCCAGAAAGCUGUUCGUAGUCCGGAUUGGAUUGGAGUCUGCAACUCGACUGCAUGAAGUCGGAAUCGCUAGUAAUCGCGAAUCAGAAUGUCGCGGUGAAUACGUUCCCGGGCCUUGUACACACCGCCCGUCAUACCAUGGGAGUGGGUUGAACCAGAAGUAGUUAGUCUGACCGUAGGGGGGACGAUUACCACGGUGGGAUUCAUGACUGGGGUGAAGUCGUAACAAGGUAACC
rnacentral:rRNA from 1 species